rnacentral:misc_RNA from 1 species
UCCGGUUUAACACCGGCAGUCUCCAUAGAGUGCCCAACUGAAUGAUGGCAACUAGGGAUAAGGGUUGCGCUCGUUAAGGGACUUAACCCGACAUCUCACGAUACGAGCUGACGACAGCCAUGCAGCACCUGUCUCCCGGCCCCCGAAGGGGAAGCCCUAUUUCUAGGGCGGUCCGAGGAUGUCAAGCCCAGGUAAGGUUCUUCGCGUUGCAUCGAAUUGAACCACAUGCUCCACCGCUUGUGCGGGCCCCCGUCAAUUCCUUUGAGUUUUAACCUUGCGGCCGUACUUCCCAGGCGGGGUACUUAAUGCGUUAGCGUCGACACUGCAGGGGUCAAUUCCUGCAACAUCUAGUACCCAUCGUUUACAGCGUGGACUAC